UCUACAAUGGAGGUUUUAGCGCAGUAGCAGUAGGUCGUAGAGGACUUAGCAGUAGUUGUAGCGAAAUAAACCAAAUCCAUUUCCUACGGCGUACGACGUACGUUUUACGACGAACGGGCAUGCGCAGUCACAAAAGAAUGCUGCGUCCGUGAAGUGUGUGGAGUUUGUGCAUAUUGUCAUUAAUGUUAAUUAUAAUUAUUUGCGAUGUCGAACGAAGAAGGUGAAGCAACUUGUGUUGAAUAUUAUUUUGUUGAUGAAAAUCCGUCGGACGUUGAGCUGUUGGAUCAGCGUGAGUUAAUUCAAUUAGUAAAAAAUAACCCGCCUCUGUUCGCCAAAACUGUAAAAGAAUAUUGUGGAAAAGGAUACAACAAAGAUUUAGCGUGGCAGAGAGUGGGAUCUAGUCUCUCAAAGCCCCUGUCAGGACCAGAUGCUUCCAAGUUAUUUUAUAAUAUUCGCCAACGUUUUGGCAGAGAGAGGCGAAAAGUAUUAUCUUCGUUAAAAGGAAAAUCAGGCCAAGGAGCGGUGGCACCAUAUGUACCUUCAUAGCCUUUGUAUGAAGAUUGCAUGUUCUUAGCAGAUCAUAUUGUUGGACGCAAAACGUCAAGCAGCUAUA